UGAAUUUACAAUACCUAGUUAAAGGAAGCUUUAACACAUGUACAAAUAUAUUUUCUGGCAAAAUGAUUUUUGAGAAGAAAUUUUUAAAAUCUUAUUACCUGACGUCAUGACGAGGGCAUAUCUGAGGUUUAAAAUUUGCAUUUUCUGAAACAGUGUAGACAAUGGGAGCAAGCAAUAUCAUGAUAUUAACCGAUGCAUGUUUAAGGUAUCAGCAUUUACAUUCAUAAUUGAUGAAAAUGUUAUAUGGGAUGUUAUAACAACAGCGAGCAAGAAAUAUCAAGUAAAAGAGUUUCACCAUCUAGUGCACGUGUGUAAUCCUAAUUUAAAAAUAUCAUCAUUGCACCAUAUUUGAACGGUGAAAAAGAGGGAGGGGGUCAUCGCAACAAAUUGUAACAUAUUGUCUAUUACGGUAUAAUGUAAGUAAUAAUUGGUGUUGAUUAUCAUUAUUACAAGAAAGUAAUCAGUUUGGAUUAAAACAAAUAUAUAUUUAUACAGCUGGAAUGUUUACUGGAGAAACUAAAUCGCCAAAGCGGGAUGUGACCCGAUUUUUGUUCAGUUAGGCGAUAUCAUUAAUCUUGAAAAGGGAUCAUACAUGUAACUCACGUGGCUUACUAAUGGUACAUUACUACAUUUAACAAUUACUGAUCAAAUGUGUUUGUUAAUUCGAUAGAUUUAUUCCAAAUAAUCCGAUCCAAAGUACAAUAUACAUGUAUGUAGCUGUUACAAAACAAAUGUCAACAAAUUCAGUUGACCCCCUCCCCAUGGAUCUCUGCCAAUGGCUGAGUUCAUUCAAACAUUAACCGUUGCGUGAAUGGUAAAGCAGGACUUCGCGCCAUAAUGUCUCAUUCAUAGUUUUUGUGCGCCAAUUAAUAGUGGACGAUCAUGCGAAUACCCCAGAGCACACUGUGUGUUUACAUCACAGGCAUGUAGCAUCGGAGGUUGGGAUGAAGGGGGGGGGGGGGCUGCUUCCCCCUCCCUACUUUUUGAGCAGCAGGCACUUUUCUUAACUUUGUAUAAUAAAUGGAAAUGUCAUGGAUUUGCUCCCCCCAUCCACUUUUGUAGGAGCAUGUAAUAAAUGGAACUGCAAAUAAGUAAUUCUAAUUGAAUUGAAGUUUUAGUUAAGUUUUUUUUAUGAAUUGAGAAUUCAUUCCUUUUUUAGUUGCUUGUCAAGAUGAUUUUGAUGAAGCUGCCCCAUACACAUUCAAAAACAAUGCGUGUUUGUAUACCCUUUCAUAUUUGAUAUGGUUGGACAUUUUGAAAAACGCCUUUCAGUUGAUUUUGCAUCUUAAUAUAACAUAUACAAUUUUAAAAAAAAUUCCUAUUUAAUCUCCAGUUUUCAAGCUUACAUGCACUUAUCUGAUAUGUGAACAUUCCUAAAGAAAUUGAAUCACUAAAAUAAUUUAAUUUCAAGUGAUACAUAUGUACAUGUUCUAGAUCGAAGAAAAAACUGACAUUUCGUCUUUAAUUUGCACGUCCCGUUUAUAAAUUUAUGAUUCGCAGCGAAAAUUAAAAUUCAUUGCUGAUAAGAUAGUCUAAUUGAUACAUGCAUGCUUCCAUAGAAUAAUUUUGUUUAAUCAGGCAAGCUUUUUUGGAAAGUUUUUACUUGUCUUUAUAUAUAACUUUGAUUGUCCUUUGGUCACGGGUCUCCGCCUCGUGCAUGCAUUUCUUAUCUCCAGAAUCUGACGCAAGGCCAUUGCUCUCAUUCUUUCUAACCGUCAUGUAACCUGUGGGAAACUUUCCUGAUGUUCAAAUCAACUCUUAUCGAAUUCAUUAAUAAGCCCUGUCAUCAGUUAUAAAGGUUUAAACGCUUCUGCACCUUUUCCAAAUCACUUAGUAAAUCAGAAUUAAAGUUAUACUGUAUUUUAUUUCCUUCGUUUUAAAACUCUCCUGGCACUUCUUUUUGAUAGACUUAGUAAUGUUAUCAUUUUUUAAAUCAGAACUUGAGAACUCCUCCUUGAAACUCUCAAUCUUUGAGUCCAAGUAUGUCUGAAAUAAGUUAAAUGUAUCUGCAAGGUCUAGCUGUUCAGGAACUUUGUACGUAGAUUGUGCAGAUACUGCAGGCUGUGGUUUACAUGUAGGUUCAACUGCAGGUUUUUCCAAUAAAUUUUCUAGAUCUGUUUAUCUGUACGUCGCAAGGAAAUCAGUCUAAGGCUGUCGAGAUAUCUCAGAUAGGCAGCGAAUUCAUUCCCGAAUAACUUCUACUACCUUGUUCAAGUAUCUCUUGUCUUAUACUGUAUAUGUAUUGAUAUGAAUAAUUUUGAAGGAAAAUGUCCGUAUUUCAACACAUAUAAAAGUGGAAACAUUGACGAAAAGAACUGCAUUCCAAAAACAAUCUGACUUAUUCACAGGGUACUGUAUAUUCCUCAUCUGCGAUAAAUACAAAAAGUGAGUAAAAGCAGCUUUCUAUGUCUCAGACUGACGUGCUUAAAAAUGAAACAAAACAUUAUUAAUGUUAAUAUUUUCUAUAACUUACUCUUUAGAGAACAAAUAAUGUAAUUCUUAUUGAUAAGAUUUAUUGAUAAAAUAGUAGAAAAAUAAAAAUUGAAUCUAAAGCCAUUUGACCAAUUCGAUGAGGGUAUUAAAAAACUAAUGGACUGGUGUUGAAAAAGAAAUAAUGUUAGGCCAUAAUUGAUCACCUAAAAGUAUAUGGGUAUUUUUUUGUCCAUUUUUCCGAUUUAGGCGGAUGUGACCGGCUAGAUUGGUUACUGUUGGAAAAAUUAGAUUCAAUUAUUACAAUUUUUUUUAUUUUUCUUCACAAAUUUAAAGGCUAAAAAGGCAAAUUAUCAUUGAGCUAGUUGUUUUGGAAUGCAUAAAGUAGAAAUAAUAGACAUUUUUAUGGUUACGUUGCUACAAACAUUUGUGUUAAUUUUUUUUAUGUCCAAUUUUUUAGUUAUCCAGGUACAGAGGAGUGUAUGAUGCAAACAAGCGGGUGCACGGUUGUUACUGUCAUAUAUAACACAAUCAGUUUAAUAUAUAUUUGAAAAUAGAUAUUUCACUGUAUAGAUGAAGUAUAAUUGAUGAUUUAUUCUCUUUAAGACACUGCCUGUUAUGCAAAGAAAGAGAUCAGUACAUCACCGCCUAGUACAACAAGUCCAACUAGAACUCAGUCAGUUGGAGGGACUCGCUCAGUAACUGAGACUUCUGAUAGAGGAAAUGAAACAAAAAUUUCAACUACCAGUGACAAACAUUGUCAAAGAUGAACAAGAUAGAAAACUGUGUGCAGAGCUAUAAAAUCUGCUGGGUACAGAGGGUAAGAAGCAGGAAGUUACAGAGGGUCUGAAGCAGGAAGUUACAGAGGGUAAGAAGCAGGAAGUUACAGAGGGUCUGAAGCAGUAAGUUACAGAGGAUCUGAAGCAGGAAGUUACAGAGGGUCUGAAGCAGUAAGUUACAGAGGAUCUGAAGCAGGAAGUUAUGACAGUUACCAUCACUAGAGUGACUGGUAAAUGGGUGAAAACAAUAUUAAACUAUUAAUCAGACCAAGAAAUAACAACUUAAAUUAAAUUUCCUGAAGAAUUCAAUCGCAUUCUUGAAUCAACAGAGCGUAAUACGUCAUUCCUUGUACACAGUCAGGUUUCAAAUGCUUUAUUUUAAACUUCCGUUUUGUAGAUGGUAAAAGUUUUUGAAGAAGUUUGAUGUUAUAGGAGCAUGUCUCAAUUAUCAGCAAACUUUAAUGUAAUGCAUCCUGAUGCAUAAAUUUUAUCAUAAAAGUUCCGGUAGUCAUGCUACAGACCUAUAUUUUCUCAAUGAAACAGUAGUUUUAGAUUAUAUGUUUUUUUUAAUUUUGUUUUAUUAUAUGGUAUUAUAUGGUUUUGUGAUCAUUUGUCUGGAACUUCUCUCAUGGUCCAGGUUCCAUAUAGAUAAGUCAUCUAUACUUUAAAGAUGGUCCUCCAUAUUGUUAUGUUAUACUUUCUUUUGAAAAAACAAUUUAAUUAAAUUAACAUCUUUUUAUAAAAACCAGUAUGCUGUGUAAACUUAUGUUAUUCACUUACA